CACGGCGUGGCCGAGUGGCUAGCGCUCUUGUUUUUGAAAUUCGAGGUGUGGGUUCGAACCCCGUCUGUGUCA